rnacentral:rRNA from 1 species
GGUCAGGCUACAAAGUGUGUAUAGUGAAUGCCUUGGCGUCAGAAGCCGAUGAAGGACGUGAUCAGCUGCGAUAAGCCGCGGGGAGCUGCAAAUAAGUUAUGAUCCGCGGAUUUCCGAAUCGGGAAACCGAGCAUGGCGAAAGUCAUGCUACCUCGCGAUGAAGACGCCGCCGUCAGGCGGCGGGAUAGUCGCGUGGAGACAACCCGGGGAAGUGAAACAUCUCAGUACCCGGAGGAAAAGAAAUCAACCGAGAUUCCCCCAGUAGUGGCGAGCGAACGGGGAAUAGCCUAAACCCAGGGACUUGUCCCUGGGGGUUGCAGGGCUCAUCCGGUUCAGAACCGAAGAGUUACAAAUCGUCCGAUAGCGGAAUGGUCCUGGAAAGGCCAGCCAUAGAGGGUGCCAGCCCCGUACGCGAAAUCGAGACGACUCUUGAUGAGUUCCUAAGUACCAUCGGGCACGUGAAAUCCGGUGGGAAUCUGGGGAGACCACUCUCCAAGGCUAAAUACUCUCUGACGACCGAUAGUGAACUAGUACCGCGAGGGAAAGGCGAAAAGAACCCCUGACGGGGAGUGAAAAAGAACCUGAAACUGUACACAUACAAGCUUCACGAGGGCUAUGCCCAGGCCGCAAGGCCAGGGAACGCCUGAGUGAGUGCCUGUUGAAGAAUGACCCGGCGAGUUAAUGGGUGGAGCGAGGUUAAGGGCGGCGUGAAAGCGUCGUCCGCAGCCGUAGCGAAAGCGAGUCUGAAAGGGCGUCAGUUCCAUUCAUUAGACCCGAAGCCAAGUGAUCUAACCAUGGCCAGAGUGAAGUUGGAGUAAAAUCCAAUGGAGGCUCGGAGUGUUAAUCGUUGAAAAGAUUCUACAUGAGCUGUGGUUAGGGGUGAAAGGCUAAUCGAACUUGGUGAUAGCUGGUUCUCUCCGAAAUAGCUUUAGGGCUAGCGUCCAACGUUAACCCACGGGGGUAGAGCACUGGUAGAUGUAGCGGAGGCAACCCCUCCUGCGAAGUCUGUCAAACUCCGAAUACCGUGGCGAAGUGUUGGGCAGUCAGUUCGUGGGGGAUAAGCUCCACGUGCAAGAGGGGAACAACCCAGAACGUCGAUCUAGGUCCCAAAGUGUAUGCUAAGUGGAAAACGUUGUGGAUUUGCUUAAACAGCUAGGAGGUUGGCUUAGAAGCAGCCAUCCUUUAAAGAGUGCGUAACAGCUCACUAGUCGAGCGAAUCUGCGCGGAAAAUGACACGGGGCUCAAGCAUACCACCGCAAUCGCGUCUUGCGCCGCGGCCGUAAGGCCGCGGAUGCAGGGGUAGGAGAGCGUUCCUAGCGCUGUGAAGGCAUACCGAAAGGAGUGCCGGAGCGCUAUGAAGUGAGGAUGUCGGGAUAAGUAGCGAUAAACAAGGUGAGAAUCCUUGUCACCGAAAACCUAAGGUUUCCUUGAGCAACGUUCGUCGGCUCAGGGUCAGUCGGUCCUAAGUCGAGGCCGAAAGGCGUAGGCGAUGGGCAUCCGGUUAAUAUUCCGGAACUAGGUGAUAGGCGUCAACGUAAGAAGCGACGCAGGAGGGUAAGCGGUCCCGGGUGAAGGUCGUCCCGGGCCAACGGCGUAGGCAUGCUCUUCCAGGGAAGUCCGGAGGGGCGUUAAGCCGAAACCAGACGGGGAGAUCUGGGAAACCAGGUCGAAGCCGCCUAACCACGCUGCCAAGAAAACCUUCGUACGUUGCCUGUCAUCUAACCGUACCGUAAACCGACACAGGUGGGUGGGCUGAAAAUGCUAAGGUGCGCGAGUGAGACCACGUUAAGGAACUAGGCAAAAUGAUCCCGUAACUUCGGAAGAAGGGAUGCUCCUCGCAAGAGGAGUCGCAGUGAAAUGGGGACCGUGACUGUUUAACAAAAACACAGGACUCUGCUGAAAUCGCAAGAUGAGGUAUAGGGUCUGACACCUGCCCGGUGCUGGAAGGUCAAGGGGAGUGGUUAGCCGCAAGGCGAAGCCACGAACUUAAGCCCCAGUAAACGGCGGCGGUAACUAUAACCGUCCUAAGGUAGCGAAAUUCCUUGUCGGGUAAGUUCCGACCUGCACGAAUGGUGUAACAAAGGUCCCGCUGUCUCAACGUGGUGCUCGGCGAAAUUGUGGUACGAGUGAAGACGCUCGUUACGC